rnacentral:rRNA from 1 species
UUAAGCGACUAAGCGUACACGGUGGAUGCCCUGGCAGUCAGAGGCGAUGAAGGACGUGCUAAUCUGCGAUAAGCGCCGGUAAGGUGAUAUGAACCGUUAUAACCGGCGAUUUCCGAAUGGGGAAACCCAGUGUGAUUCGUCACACUAUCAUUAACUGAAUCCAUAGGUUAAUGAGGCGAACCGGGGGAACUGAAACAUCUAAGUACCCCGAGGAAAAGAAAUCAACCGAGAUUCCCCCAGUAGCGGCGAGCGAACGGGGAGGAGCCCAGAGCCUGAAUCAGCAUGUGUGUUAGUGGAAGCGUCUGGAAAGGCGCGCGAUACAGGGUGACAGCCCCGUACACAAAAGCGCAUGUGUUGUGAGCUCGAUGAGUAGGGCGGGACACGUGGUAUCCUGUCUGAAUAUGGGGGGACCAUCCUCCAAGGCUAAAUACUCCUGACUGACCGAUAGUGAACCAGUACCGUGAGGGAAAGGCGAAAAGAACCCCGGCGAGGGGAGUGAAAAAGAACCUGAAACCGUGUACGUACAAGCAGUGGGAGCCCCACCACUAAGCCAGUGGUGAACUCCACAUACGCAUCCUUUGCUGAGGAUACGGUUAACGGAGCGCAAGCGACGUUCAACCGCAAAAGAAGCAGAGGGGGCUUAGUGGUGGGGUGACUGCGUACCUUUUGUAUAAUGGGUCAGCGACUUAUAUUCUGUAGCAAGGUUAACCGUAUAGGGGAGCCGGAGGGAAACCGAGUCUUAAUUGGGCGUUAAGUUGCAGGGUAUAGACCCGAAACCCGGUGAUCUAGCCAUGGGCAGGUUGAAGGUUGGGUAACACUAACUGGAGGACCGAACCGACUAAUGUUGAAAAAUUAGCGGAUGACCUGUGGCUGGGGGUGAAAGGCCAAUCAAACCGGGAGAUAGCUGGUUCUCCCCGAAAGCUAUUUAGGUAGCGCCUCGUGAAUUCAUCUCCGGGGGUAGAGCACUGUUUCGGCUAGGGGGCCAUCCCGGCUUACCAACCCGAUGCAAACUGCGAAUACCGGAGAAUGUUAUCACGGGAGACACACGGCGGGUGCUAACGUCCGUCGUGAAGAGGGAAACAACCCAGACCGCCAGCUAAGGUCCCAAAGUCAUGGUUAAGUGGGAAACGAUGUGGGAAGGCCCAGACAGCCAGGAUGUUGGCUUAGAAGCAGCCAUCAUUUAAAGAAAGCGUAAUAGCUCACUGGUCGAGUCGGCCUGCGCGGAAGAUGUAACGGGGCUAAACCAUGCACCGAAGCUGCGGCAGCGAGUAAUAGCUCACUGGUCGAGUCGGCCUGCGCGGAAGAUGUAACGGGGCUAAACCAUGCACCGAAGCUGCGGCAGCGAACGUAUCACUUAAAGCGAUUCAGCGGGUUACGAUUGACGGAGCGAAGCGACGUCAAAGCGUAUACAAAGUCGAGUCGGUUUAAGGAUACGUUCGUUGGGUAGGGGAGCGUUCUGUAAGCCUGUGAAGGUGUGUCGUGAGGCAUGCUGGAGGUAUCAGAAGUGCGAAUGCUNGUUGGGUAGGGGAGCGUUCUGUAAGCCUGUGAAGGUGGCCUGUGAGGGUUGCUGGAGGUAUCAGAAGUGCGAAUGCUGACAUAAGUAACGAUAAAGCGGGUGAAAAGCCCGCUCGCCGGAAGACCAAGGGUUCCUGUCCAACGUUAAUCGGGGCAGGGUGAGUCGACCCCUAAGGCGAGGCCGAAAGGCGUAGUCGAUGGGAAACGGGUUAAUAUUCCCGUACUUGGUGUUACUGCGAAGGGGGGACGGAGAAGGCUAUGUUGGCCGGGCGACGGUUGUCCCGGUUUAAGCGUGUAGGUGUGUGUUCCAGGUAAAUCCGGUUCACUUUAACACUGAGGCGUGAUGACGAGGCACUACGGUGCUGAAGCAACAAAUGCCCUGCUUCCAGGAAAAGCCUCUAAGCAUCAGGUAACAUCAAAUCGUACCCCAAACCGACACAGGUGGUCAGGUAGAGAAUACCAAGGCGCUUGAGAGAACUCGGGUGAAGGAACUAGGCAAAAUGGUGCCGUAACUUCGGGAGAAGGCACGCUGACAUGUAGGUGAAGUGAUUUACUCAUGGAGCUGAAGUCAGUCGAAGAUACCAGCUGGCUGCAACUGUUUAUUAAAAACACAGCACUGUGCAAACACGAAAGUGGACGUAUACGGUGUGACGCCUGCCCGGUGCCGGAAGGUUAAUUGAUGGGGUCAGCGCAAGCGAAGCUCCUGAUCGAAGCCCCGGUAAACGGCGGCCGUAACUAUAACGGUCCUAAGGUAGCGAAAUUCCUUGUCGGGUAAGUUCCGACCUGCACGAAUGGCGUAAUGAUGGCCAGGCUGUCUCCACCCGAGACUCAGUGAAAUUGAACUCGCUGUGAAGAUGCAGUGUACCCGCGGCAAGACGGAAAGACCCCGUGAACCUUUACUAUAGCUUGACACUGAACAUUGAGCCUUGAUGUGUAGGAUAGGUGGGAGGCUUUGAAGNAGACCCCGUGAACCUUUACUAUAGCUUGACACUGAACAUUGAGCCUUGAUGUGUAGGAUAGGUGGGAGGCUUUGAAGUGUGGACGCCAGUCUGCAUGGAGCCGACCUUGAAAUACCACCCUUUAAUGUUUGAUGUUCUAACGUGGACCCGUAAUCCGGGUUGCGGACAGUGUCUGGUGGGUCCUUGAAAUACCACCCUUUAAUGUUUGAUGUUCUAACGUGGACCCGUGAUCCGGGUUGCGGACAGUGUCUGGUGGGUAGUUUGACUGGGGCGGUCUCCUCCUAAAGAGUAACGGAGGAGCACGAAGGUUGGCUAAUCCUGGUCGGACAUCAGGAGGUUAGUGCAAUGGCAUAAGCCAGCUUGACUGCGAGCGUGACGGCGCGAGCAGGUGCGAAAGCAGGUCAUAGUGAUCCGGUGGUUCUGAAUGGAAGGGCCAUCGCUCAACGGAUAAAAGGUACUCCGGGGAUAACAGGCUGAUACCGCCCAAGAGUUCAUAUCGACGGCGGUGUUUGGCACCUCGAUGUCGGCUCAUCACAUCCUGGGGCUGAAGUAGGUCCCAAGGGUAUGGCUGUUCGCCAUUUAAAGUGGUACGCGAGCUGGGUUUAGAACGUCGUGAGACAGUUCGGUCCCUAUCUGCCGUGGGCGCUGGAGAACUGAGGGGGGCUGCUCCUAGUACGAGAGGACCGGAGUGGACGCAUCACUGGUGUUCGGGUUGUCAUGCCAAUGGCACUGCCCGGUAGCUAAAUGCGGAAGAGAUAAGUGCUGAAAGCAUCUAAGCACGAAACUUGCCCCGAGAUGAGUUCUCCCUGAGACUUAAAGUCUCCUGAAGGAACGUUGAAGACGACGACGUUGAUAGGCCGGGUGUGUAAGCGCAGCGAUGCGUUGAGCUAACCGGUACUAAUGAACCGUGAGGCUUAACCUU